UACCCUUGACAUGUCUGGAAUCCUGAAGAGAUUUAGGAGUGCUCGCAAGAGAACCGGAACACAGGUGCUGCAUGGCUGUCGUCAGCUCGUGUCGUGAGAUGUUGGGUUAAGUCCCGCAACGAGCGCAACCCUUGUCAUUAGUUGCUACGAAAGGGCACUCUAAUGAGACUGCCGGUGACAAACCGGAGGAAGGUGGGGAUGACGUCAAGUCCUCAUGGCCCUUAUGGGUAGGGCUUCACACGUCAUACAAUGGUCGGGACAGAGGGUUGCCAAACCGCGAGGUGGAGCUAAUCUCAUAAACCCGAUCGUAGUCCGGAUUGCAGUCUGCAACUCGACUGCAUGAAGUCGGAAUCGCUAGUAAUCGCGGAUCAGCAUGUCGCGGUGAAUACGUUCCCGGGUCUUGUACACACCGCCCGUCACACCAUGGGAGUGGGUUUCACCAGAAGUAGUUAGCCUAACCGCAAGGGGGGCGAUUACCACGGUGGGAUUCAUGACUGGGGUGAAGUCGUAACAAGGUAACCAAGGGCGAA
rnacentral:rRNA from 1 species